UACGUAGGGGGCAAGCGUUGUCCGGAUUUAUUGGGCGUAAAGAGCGUGUAGGCGGCCAGACGGGUCCGUUGUGAAAACUCGAGGCUCAACCUCGAGACGCCGAUGGAAACCGUUUGGCUAGAGUCCGGAAGAGGAGAAUGGAAUUCCCGGUGUAGCGGUGAAAUGCGCAGAUAUCGGGAGGAACACCGGUGGCGAAGGCGGUUCUCUGGGCCUUACCUGACGCUGAGGAGCGAAAGCGUGGGGAGCGAACAGG
rnacentral:rRNA from 1 species